rnacentral:tRNA from 1 species
GGCGAGGUAGCGAAGCGGUCAAACGCAGCAGACUGUAAAUCUGUCGCCCUAGGGCUUCGAAGGUUCGAAUCCUUCCCUCGCCA